rnacentral:lncRNA from 1 species
UUCUGCAGGCAUUUGUUCUGGGGAGCUCUGGUACGAGCUGUGGGUUGACUGCUCAAAGGCCUUGCAGCAACUGGGGAGAGAAAACUGGGAAAUGGCUUGAUUGUUGAUCCCUUAACAGUUUCAUUUGGGAACAAAUUUUGAAUACCAUGGCAUCACCUGUGUGAAAAAUUAAGUACCUUGUUAGAGCCUUCAAGGAGAAUGUGAUGCAGCAUGAUCACAUGUGUUCAUCUAAAUGUUCAAGGCCCCCUCAGCUGAGGAGAUGAGACCGUGCUGAGAGCCAGAGAACUGCAGCCCUCACACUGAAGCUUCACCCUCC